rnacentral:rRNA from 1 species
UACGAGGGGGGCAAGCGUUGUUCGGAAUUAUUGGGCGUAAAGGGCGCGUAGGCGGUGCGGUAAGUCACCUGUGAAAUCUCUGGGCUCAACUCAGAGUCUGCAGGCGAAACUGCCGUGCUGGAGUAUGGGAGAGGUGCGUGGAAUUCCCGGUGUAGCGGUGAAAUGCGUAGAUAUCAGGAGGAACACCGGUGGCGAAGGCGGUUCUCUGGGCAUGUCCUGACGCUGAGGAGCGAAAGUGUGGGGAGCGAACAGG